rnacentral:piRNA from 1 species
UAUCAACUACAUGUCUGACUUCAGUUGUU